AGAGAGAGAGAGGGGAGAGAUAAGGUUUGAUAUUUAUGAAGGAUAAUAUUGUCUUUUUAUUAAAAUUUAUGUAAAUGGGCGUUGAAAAACAAUUUUCAUUGGAAUGGGCUAGAAGUUCUUAAAAUUAGUACUAAAUGAGCAUUUUUCCUUGAUAUUUACAGUAUGUACAUACGAAAAAGUUCAUAAGAUAUUAUUCUAUGUUACACAAAUUAACCACAUUUGCUUUCGUUGGUGAAUGGAAUCAUCAUCAUCAGCAGCAUUAUACUCCGCUCAAAACCUCAAGGUUGAUGUGGUUGAUUUAGUUAUCGAGUUCUCCGCAACUUGCACAGAAAGUCUUUUUUUUUUUUUUUUUUUGGUAAAAGCUUCUAGUUUUCUUCUUUAAAAUCUUCAACUCACCUUCUAAGUUCUUGUAGCAAAGGCAAUAGAACAAAGGAAAGGGAAUUUCUUUUUAUGAGAGCAAACAGAUAGACAAUGUCCGAUUAUUUUCC
rnacentral:lncRNA from 1 species